rnacentral:rRNA from 1 species
UACAGAGGUCCCAAGCGUUGUUCGGAUUCACUGGGCGUAAAGGGUGCGUAGGUGGCGGGGAAAGUUUGAUGUGAAAUCUCCGGGCUUAACCCGGAAAUGGCAUUGAAUACUAUUCCGCUUGGAGGGUUGGAGGGGGGACUGGAAUUCUCGGUGUAGCAGUGAAAUGCGUAGAGAUCAUGAGGAAGACCAGUGGCGAAGGCGGGUCUCUGGACAGAUACUGACGCUGAGACUCGAAAGCGUGGGGAGCGAACAGG